rnacentral:rRNA from 1 species
GACAGAGGGUGCAAACGUUGUUCGGAAUUACUGGGCGUAAAGCGUGUGUAGGCGGCUUCGCAAGUCGGAUGUGAAAGCCCCGGGCUCAACCCGGGAAGUGCACUCGAUACUGCGGAGCUAGAGUGUCGGAGAGGUUGGUGGAAUUCUCGGUGUAGAGGUGAAAUUCGUAGAUAUCGAGAGGAACACCGGUGGCGAAGGCGGCCAACUGGACGAACACUGACGCUGGAGACACGAAAGCGUGGGGAGCAAACAGG